ensembl:snRNA predicted gene, 22894
GCGUUUACUUGGCAGUUCGCCCACUAAAAUUCAAACUAGGUAGAGAUUAGCAUGGUUCCUGUGCUAAGAUGUCAUGCAAAUUUGUGGCACCUUCCAUAUUUUU